rnacentral:rRNA from 1 species
GACGAACGCUGGCGGCGUGCUUAACACAUGCAAGUCGAACGAAGUGGCGAACGGGUGAGUAACGCGUAAUCAACCUGCCCUUCGAAGGGGGACAACAGUUGGAAACGACUGCUAAUACCGCAUACUGACGGAGGGGAUUGCGUCUGAUUAGCUAGUUGGAGGGGUAACGGCCCACCAAGGCGAUGAUCAGUAGCCGGUCUGAGAGGAGGAACGGCAACAUUGGGACUGAGAUACGGCCCAGACGCCUACGGGAGGCAGCAGUGGGGGAUAUGGCACAAUGGGCGAAAGCCUGAUGCAGCGACGCCGCGUGGGGGAUUAAGGCUUUCGGGUUGUAAACCUCUCUCGCUAUCGAACGGGUAGGUGGAGAAGAAGCGCCGGCUAACUACGUGCCAGCAGCCGCGGUAAUUC